GUAGUCCACGCUGUAAACGAUGGGUACUAGACCUUGUGGGAAUUGACCCCUGCAGAGUCGGAGCUAACGCGAUAAGUACCCCGCCUGGGAAGUACGGUCGCAAGACUAAAACUCAAAGGAAUUGACGGGGGCCCGCACAAGCGGUGGAUCAUGUGGUUUAAUUCGAAGCAACGCGCAAAACCUUACCAGGGUUUGACAUCCUCGGACCGCGGCGGAAACGUCGUUUUCGUAGCAAUACGACCGAGAGACAGGUGCUGCAUGGCUGUCGUCAGCUCGUGUGGUGACAUGUUGGGUUAAGUCCCGCAACGAGCGCAACCCUUGCCUUUAGUUGCCAGCAUUAAGUUGGGCACUCUAGAGGGACUGCCGUGGUUAACACGGA
rnacentral:rRNA from 1 species